GCAGACACAUUCCAGCCAAUCAGCAGCAGACCCUCCCUCCCAGACCCUCCCACCUCCUGGACAGCAUCCAUUUUACAUUCAUUGUGAAGCUGCAUUCUUAGUGAGCUGUCCAGGAGGUGGGAGGGUCUGGGAGGGAGUGUCUGCUGCUGAUUGGCUGGAAUGUGUCUG